rnacentral:miRNA from 1 species
AAGCAGUCUAUGGCCAUACCACCCUGAACAUGCCCGAUCUCAUCUGAUCUCGGAAGCUAAGCAGGGUCGGGCAUGGUUAGUACUUGGAUGGG